GACGAACGCUGGCGGCGUGCUUAACACAUGCAAGUCGAACGGAAAGGCCCUGCUUUUGUGGGGUGCUCGAGUGGCGAACGGGUGAGUAACACGUGAGUAACCUGCCCUUGACUUUGGGAUAACUUCAGGAAACUGGGGCUAAUACCGGAUAGGAGCUCCUGCUGCAUGGUGGGGGUUGGAAAGUUUCGGCGGUUGGGGAUGGACUCGCGGCUUAUCAGCUUGUUGGUGGGGUAGUGGCUUACCAAGGCUUUGACGGGUAGCCGGCCUGAGCUGGUGACCGGCCCCAUUGGGACUGAGAUACGGCCCAGACUCCUACGGGAGGCAGCAGUGGGGAAUAUUGCACAAUGGGCGGAAGCCUGAUGCAGCAACGCCGCGUGCGGGAUGACGGCCUUCGGGUUGUAAACCGCUUUCGCCUGUGACGAAGCGUGAGUGACGGUAAUGGGUAAAGAAGCACCGGCUAACUACGUG
rnacentral:rRNA from 1 species